rnacentral:rRNA from 1 species
GAUACCCUGGUAGUCCACGCUGUAAACGAUGUCGACUUGGAGGUUGUUCCCUUGAGGAGUGGCUUCCGGAGCUAACGCGUUAAGUCGACCGCCUGGGGAGUACGGCCGCAAGGUUAAAACUCAAAUGAAUUGACGGGGGCCCGCACAAGCGGUGGAGCAUGUGGUUUAAUUCGAUGCAACGCGAAGAACCUUACCUACUCUUGACAUCCAGGGAAUUUAGCAGAGAUGCUUUAGUGCCUUCGGGAACCGUGAGACAGGUGCUGCAUGGCUGUCGUCAGCUCGUGUUGUGAAAUGUUGGGUUAAGUCCCGCAACGAGCGCAACCCUUAUCCUUUGUUGCCAGCGGUUCGGCCGGGAACUCAAAGGAGACUGCCAGUGAUAAACUGGAGGAAGGUGGGGAUGACGUCAAGUCAUCAUGGCCCUUACGAGUAGGGCUACACACGUGCUACAAUGGCAUAUACAAAGAGAAGCGACCUCGCGAGAGCAAGCGGACCUCAUAAAGUAUGUCGUAGUCCGGAUCGGAGUCUGCAACUCGACUCCGUGAAGUCGGAAUCGCUAGUAAUCGUGGAUCAGAAUGCCACGGUGAAUACGUUCCCGGGCCUUGUACACACCGCCCGUCACACCAUGGGAGUGGGUUGCAAAAGAAGUAGGUAGCUUAAC